AAUCCGUGAUGUGGGCAGCAUCUCAAAAGAUUCUUAAACCUCUCCCAUGCAUCGUACAUGCUCUCAUCAUCAAACUGCAGAAAAAAAGAUAUGUCAUUUCUAAGUUU
rfam:Ricinus communis cultivar Hale ctg_1100012361265, whole genome shotgun sequence.